GUGAGCCUACGGGGGGCAGCAGUGGGGAAUAUUGCACAAUGGGGGAAACCCUGAUGCAGCGACACCGCGUGAGUGAAGAAGUAUUUCGGUACGUAAAGCUCUAUCAGCAGGGAAGAAAAUGACGGUACCUGACUAAGAAGCCCCGGCUAACUACGUGCCAGCAGCCACGGUAAUACGUAGGGGGCAAGCGUUAUCCGGAUUUACUGGGUGUAAAGGGAGCGUAGACGGCAGCGCAAGUCUGGAGUGAAAUGCCGGGGCCCAACCCCGGAACUGCUUUGGAAACUGUGCAG
rnacentral:rRNA from 1 species